UCCUAUGAUGGCAUGAAAUCUUUGAGACCUGAUAAUUAAUUUGAUGACAAAUAUAAGCAUUUUCAUCUGAGGAC